GGCGAUGAAGAUAAUUUCGCUAGCCGAAAAAUAAGAUGAGGAGUACCCUCGCAACUGAGC
rnacentral:ncRNA from 10 species